rnacentral:rRNA from 1 species
UGCGUAGGCGGCCUGACAAGUCAGGGGUGAAAUGUCGUCGCUUAACGAUGAAAUUGCCUUUGAUACUGUUGGGCUUGAAACAGGUUGAGGUUGGCAGAAUGUGGCAUGUAGCGGUGAAAUGCAUAGAUAUGCCAUAGAAUACCGAUUGCGUAGGCAGCUGGCUGGACCUGGAUUGACGCUGAGGCACGAAAGCGUGGGAGCAAACA